AUAUGCAGGAACCAGAUCCGAACUAAAAGAUAACAUCAAAACAACAAAUUGAAAUCCAAGCAACAAGUCCAUUGUCAAUCAUAGAAGAUCCGAAAAACUUUACAGAAAACAAUAAUAUACCAAAUAAAAAUUAUACAUCAUUCAACGGUAGAUUUUAAAAUGAUUAAAAAUGAAGGCCAAGGUAUUGAUCUCUGCAUUAAUUUUUGGAUAAUAUUAGACAAAAGAAGUCCAUGCAGCAAAAGACUACACAACAUAUUUUUUAUAGAUUACA
rnacentral:misc_RNA from 1 species